rnacentral:rRNA from 1 species
CCCUUAGAUGUUCUGGGCCGCACGCGUGCUACACUGAAGGAAUCAGCGUGGCUUUCUCCCUGACCCGAAAGGGUUGGGAAACCCGUUGAAUCUCCUUCGUGAUAGGGAUUGGGGCUUGAAAUUGUUCCCCAUGAACGAGGAAUUCCCAGUAAGCGCGAGUCAUAAGCUCGCGUUGAUUACGUCCCUGCCCUUUGUACACACCGCCCGUCGCUACUACCGAUUGAACGGUUUAGUGAGGGCCUCGGAUUGGUCUCGGCCCGCUCUUUACCGGGCGGCGCCGUUGGUCGAGAAGACGCUCGAACUUGAUCGUUUAGAGGAAGUAAAAGUCGUAGCA